CAGUAGCCGCGGUAAUACCGAGGGUGCGAGCGUUAAUCGGAUUUACUGGGCGUAAAGCGUGCGUAGGCGGCUUCUUAAGUCGGAUGUGAAAUCCCUGAGCUUAACUUAGGAAUUGCAUUCGAUACUGGGAAGCUAGAGUAUGGGAGAGGAUGGUAGAAUUCCAGGUGUAGCGGUGAAAUGCGUAGAGAUCUGGAGGAAUACCGAUGGCGAAGGCAGCCAUCUGGCCUAAUACUGACGCUGAGGUACGAAAGCAUGGGGAGCAAACAGGAUUAGAUACCCCUGUAGUCCCUGUCUCUUAUAC
rnacentral:rRNA from 1 species